CCAGAUGCUGGGAACUCCAAGAAGCCUGAGUGAGACGUCUCCAGGCUGACUGAUCCAUUCCAGUCUUCCUCAUUCUUCAUCGCCAUGACAACCGCCUGUCUCUGAUGCCUCUCAACACCAUCUCCUCUUUCUUCAGCUGGGACACACACAUACACACACACACACACACACACACACACACACA